GGGUUUUGUGUGGAAAAACGCCUUGGAGUGUGACAUUUCUGCGAGAAUGCUUAAAUACCGAUUUCCCGCAGGAACAAUGGCGCUGUCUUCAGUGGCACAGUGGAGCAGCUCUGAAGAUGCAAAGGUAAGAGCUUAGUUAAGCUUAGUUUCCAAACUAAAGGAGUAAACCUGUUGAUUUACAGGAAUAGGAACUGUUGCAUCGUUUGAAAUUUACUUUUUUUUGUUAGAUACACGAAAAAACUUCCAGAACAUCUGGGAGAAUAUUUAAUGGAAAAUCGCUUGGUUAAAACCUGACACUUUUAACAGGUAUGUGUUGUUUUAGUACUUUAUGAUUGAGCAUAGCAUUUAAUCCACACCUAGACUAAAUCAAAUUUUUUUUGUCAGUGAACAGCGUUCUGAGUGUGGACGAGUAGCCAGUGAAGAUAAUGAAUGUCGAAUGUGACUGACUAGCAGCUUCAUUUUGAAUGAGGGUCGCUGUCUGCCCAUUGA
rnacentral:lncRNA from 1 species